GAGUGUGACAAUGGGCUGUUGGGAGAAGUUCCAUGCAGAUUACAAAGGGUUCAGAAAGGACAGGGGCAUUGAAAGGCAGCUGUAAUUAGAAAGCAUAGGCAUUCAAAGCUGCCUGGAGGUCAGAGGGGCUGGGCUGGCAGGCUGGGGAGAUCGGGCAGGAAAUGGGCACGGAAGCCCUGCAGUUCAGGGCUGACAUAAUUGGACAGAGAGCGGCAGCCAGUUACCAUGGUAACAGCCAAUCCGAGUGGCCGCGUAUGUGGCAAGGAGUCAAGGUUUCUAAAGAAGGGGCUAAAAAUGCUGCCUUUGUUCCCACUUUGAGCGAGUUGCCAUCAGAUCCCUGUGGGGGUGACGUGGCAUGGGGACAGAGCCAACAACUGCUAGCCACCAUGGCUGGGAGGGAGCCACGCAGAAGUGCCGGGAAAUGCAGACAUCCCUAUUUGGACUCUGGUGCAGUCCUCUGUUGCUAUGGCAACUCAGGGGCUCUGUGGUUGGUGGAAGAAGGCAGUGGCUGUGUGGAAAUCGGCAUUGGAGGCAGCAGCUGUGCCCUUUUGCUCCAGCAGUCUGGGU
rnacentral:lncRNA from 1 species